CCUACGGGAGGCAGCAGUGGGGAAUAUUGGGCAAUGGAGGCAACUCUGACCCAGCAACGCCGCGUGAAUGAUGAAGGUCUUCGGAUUGUAAAGUUCUGUGAUGGGGGAUGAACACAAUGACGGUACCCCAAUAGCAAGCCACGGCUAACUACGUGCCAGCAGCCGCGGUAAUACGUAGGAGGCAAGCGUUAUCCGGAAUGACUGGGCGUAAAGGGUGCGUAGGUGGUUUAGUAAGUUGGCGGUGUAAUUCCGGGGCUCAACCUCGGCGCUACCGCCAAAACUAUUAGACUAGAGUGCAGGGGAGGUAAGUGGAAUUCCUAGUGUAGCGGUGGAAUGCGUAGAUAUUAGGAGGAACAUCAGGGGCGAAGGCGACUUACUGGACUGUAACUGACACUGAGGCACGAAAGCGUGGGGAGCAAACAGGAUUAGAUACCCGGGUAGUC
rnacentral:rRNA from 1 species